rnacentral:rRNA from 1 species
UACGUAGGGUGCGAGCGUUAAUCGGAAUUACUGGGCGUAAAGGGCGCGUAGGCGGCCUUCUAAGUCGAACGUGAAAUCCCCGGGCUCAACCCGGGAACUGCGUCCGAUACUGGAUGGCUUGAAUUCGGGAGAGGGAUGCAGAAUUCCAGGUGUAGCGGUGAAAUGCGUAGAUAUCUGGAGGAAUACCGGUGGCGAAGGCGGCAUCCUGGACCGAGAUUGACACUGAUGAGCGAAAGCUAGGGGAGCAAACGGG